rnacentral:rRNA from 1 species
GACGAGCGCUGGCGGCGUGCUUAACACAUGCAAGUCGAACGGAAAGGCCCUGCUUUUGUGGGGUGCUCGAGUGGCGAACGGGUGAGUAACACGUGAGUAACCUGCCCUUGACUUUGGGAUAACUUCAGGAAACUGGGGCUAAUACCGGAUAGGAGCUCCUGCUGCAUGGUGGGGGUUGGAAAGUUUCGGCGGUUGGGGAUGGACUCGCGGCUUAUCAGCUUGUUGGUGGGGUAGUGGCUUACCAAGGCUUUGACGGGUAGCCGGCCUGAGAGGGUGACCGGCCACAUUGGGACUGAGAUACGGCCCAGACUCCUACGGGAGGCAGCAGCGGGGAAUAUUGCACAAUGGGCGGAAGCCUGAUGCAGCAACGCCGCGUGCGGGAUGACGGCCUUCGGGUUGUAAACCGCUUUCGCCUGUGACGAAGCGUGAGUGACGGUAAUGGGUAAAGAAGCACCGGCUAACUACGUG